UUUUUUUCUUUCCCCCCUUUUUCUAAACCAUGCUAUUACAGAGGGAUUACUACCACUUCUAAUUGGUCCAGCCUUGGCCAUCAGCACAUCCUUCUUGAAGCCAGCUGGCACUGGCUCUGCUGGGCAUGGAGGAAGGUUUUGGCAGCUUCUCACAGAAAGAACUAACUUGUACUCUGGUUUGCAUUGGACUAGAAGAUUUUUAGUUCACAAAAAAAUCUCUUGUGAAUGCAGCUUGAAAACUUCUGAAAUAAUUUGUGGCUUGAGGAUACUUUGUAGAUACAAGAACGUAUCUUAUAAGCAGGAACUAAGCUGACAAGACUGCAAGGUCAUGCAUUGAUACAUCAUGUUAUCUGUCACAUCCUUACUUUGUUACCUCAAAGAAGAAGCUGGUGAAUGGUGAUUCUGUCCCAGAUCCUGGUGACCACACCACACAGCGCAAGUGCAGAAGUGGUGUCAGGGAGUGGUCAAGACCAAUAGAGGGGGAUCAAGACCACCAAAAGACCCUCAAUGCAUCUCAACCCAUUUCCAGGAAGGUCCAGAAGACUGGACUGCACCUGCUCACUUAUUUACAUGAAGAGUGAGAACUCUAUUCCCAGAGAGGGAAAAAUUUACCUGUAAGAAGGUACCUCCACAAAGCCUGAGUGGCACUUCCAGGACUUUGGACACCAAUUGGCUGGAGCCAGGCUGGAGCCAGAACUGCUGAUCCUCUUGCCUCUCUCUUUCAUCUUCUCUUUCCUUCCUCUUUCUUUUUAUUCCUUUAUUUCUAUUAUUAUAGGGACAAAAUACAUACCAAUUUCCAUGCCUAGUGUGCAGUGUGCUAAAAAAAAUUUAUGAGGUUUUUCUUUUUUUUUUUUUGGUGUUCUUUUGGCUUUUGUCAUUCUUUUUCAACCAGGCACGUCUACAAAAUUUGAGUGCUCUG